GUUUAAAUGCCCCAGCCCAGUUGCCUCAUCUUUUAAAAAGGAUAAUAAUUAGCACCAAUGUCACAAGGCCAAUGUGAGAGUUUAUAUUUGCAAAGCACUUAGAAUGACAUCUGUCACAUAGUAAUGCAAUAUCGGUAUUUGUUAAAAUACAUUAUGUAAUGAUGUGAAGGUGAAAUAGUAGUAGGCUAGAAAUGUGUCACUUUAAACUUUAAAAGCUAUGGCAAGUUCAUCAUCUCCCAUUGGUCAUGUAUACCUAGACACUCCCAAAUGGACCUUCCUAAAAGCACUUCAACUUGUGAUGCCAGUGCAAGUCUGGCCACAUUGAUUCCUGCUGAACAUAGGUUAGUGAUUCCUCCUUGCUCUGUGGAAGAGGUCAGGGUUCUAUUCUCAGGCCACUAGGAUCUGCUCUGCUGUCCCCUCCAGAGUCACCUUGAACCAACCCUUCCUUCCCACUUGUCCUCCAGCUCUGGAAACUUUCUUCAGCAUCCUUUCAUAAACUGUGCUCCCUCUUGCUUCAAGACCUUCACCCAAGCUAUUCCUUGUGUCUGCGUGGCUCCUCCUGCCACUAUCUUCUCCUUCCUUUAGCCAGCUCCUGCUCACCCCUUGAAUCUUGUCUGGGUUAUCAUUUUUUGCAAAGAAGUCUUCCCCAGACCCAAAAGAGAUGAUAAAUCCCGUGAUGCAUUCUCAUCCAUGUUACGUUUAAUUCUUACAUUCAGCAUGACCUGCAAUUGUUUGGGUCAUCCAUCCAUCCAUCCAUCCAUCCAACAAAUGCUUAUUGAAUGUCUAUUGUAUGCCAGGUACUUUUCUUGGCCUUAACCAUAUAGCAGUGAACCAAACAGACAGAACCCCCUUGCCCUGGUCUCUAGCAGUUAUUUGAUGUAUAUGUGUUACAAAGCAAUCUCAAAACAGAUAUACCCAAUUUGGGGCCCAGCUCUAUCACUUCUGUUUCAUAAACAAUAGAAUUUCUUUUCUCGUGUCCACUCUGUGCUGGGCUCCUGCAGUACAGACAUAAAAGAGAUAAUUACCACACGUUUGUCUUUGAGAAAGUUACUUAAUGCCUCUGAUCCUAAUUUCCUAUAUGAAAAUUUUCUCUGCCACCUUUGAGGGGCCAUGAGGAUUAAAUUACUGGACAGUUCUCUCUGUUCAUGUAAAAGGGCUGUCGCAUAUGCAGUUGAACAGCAGAAGCCUCUUAAACAACCUGAGAUCAACCAUCAAAAACACAAGAGCAAGACUCCUAAGCAGUUCUUUGCUUACCACUAUAUUCCUAGUGUCUAACAGGUACCUGGAGGAAAGCAGUCUUUAAUAUAUUAUUUGUUAAGAAAUAAGCCAAUGAAAUACUGCUACCUUCCCUAGAAAGAUGAUGGAUUGAAGGCACAAUCCUACUCCUAUGAAACUCAUGAAGAUCUCCUCGAGCAAUGGCAGGAAACAGAGCUGCUGACUAGCAGUUUCGCGGGAGGUUAAAAGAAGAGAAGCCCCACCCAGGCGGAAGGUCGCUGCGGUUUCUUUGGUGAAUGAUCCGUGCCCCAGCUCUCCCAUUUAGACCCUAGUUAAUCUGGCUACCCUUGUAACCAGGCCAGCCCUCUAGAAUAACAGAGCCUGAAGUGAGGAGGUGGGAGGAACAUUCAUGAGUGGGUAACCCUGUGACUAAUCCAGAGAAACAGUUUCAAGACUGGUGGUUCACCCCAGCCUUGUUUGUGUCUAAUUUCCCCAGGGGCAAAUCAGCCCCUUCAUUUCACUCUGAGGUUUAGGGUUUCCCCUAGAGCUCUUGGUGAGACUCAGCCAGGAUGUUUUGCAUAAGUGUGGGAAGUCUUGGAGGUGGAAGUAGGAAAUGGGGUGGAGAGUAAAGGUGAGACUGGAUGGGGGGCACUCUGUCCAUCCCCACUUCUGAAAAGCUUUGGCAUAAUUCAAAUCAAUUGUUUCUUCCCAGGCUAUUUUGCAGAAGAAUUAACACCAAAGGAGACAGAAGAAUUGAGCCUUUUAAAACAAGUUUUUGUUUUUUUUUCCAGGAGAAAGGUGGGGAGAAAAAUAAGAGCUGGAAAACACAUGGCCCUAAACAGGUGAGAAGUAAUAGGCCCUAUCUUUUGUAUCUGGGCCAGCCAUAAUUCUUGACAAAUAGUGUGCAUUUCACAAAUGUUCAUCAGUGAGUUGAAAGAACAUGGGCUCUCAAAGCAGAUCCACCUGGUUUGGGGCCUGGCUCUAUCACUUCUGUUUCAUAAACGGUGGCCUUUUUUUCCAUGUGUCCACUCUGUGCUGGGCUCCUGCAGUACAGACACGAAGGAGGUAAUUACUGCACAUUUGUCUCUGAGAAAGUCACUCAAGGCCUCUGAUCCUCAUUUUUCCUAUAUGAAAAUCUUCUCUGCCUCCCUUAAAGGGCCAUGAGGAUUACGCUGGACAGUGCUCUGUCCGUGACAAAGGGCUGUGGCAUCUGCGUGCAGUUAAACAGCAGAAGCCCUCUUGAGCAACCUGCAAUGGACCAGCUUGCUAGAUUAAUGUAGACUCUCCACACUACUCAGCUAGCACUGUGCCCAUGCCUGGGAUACACUAAACCCUUGAAGCUAGCAGCUCCAACUGAAGCUUCUCUCCAGUUUUCCUGGGCACAUAUGUUUCCAUUGGUUGAGCUGUGUGUGCUUACUGAGGGCUAUUUGUAUUUCUUCUCAACCUGUACCUGUUACUCUGAUUAAAUAAUGCAAUCCAUCAUUUCAUAAUGCAAUGAAAUAUGAGUGCAAAAACGUAGAGUUGUUUCUUUGCAAGCUAAAGUGAGUGCUUUGGAGAGAAUCAAUGCAUGCUAUAACGGAACAACCUCCUGGUGAAUUCAGUGUAAGUGCGAUAACUAUAAAGGUUAGAGGAAAAAACAACAAAAUAGAGUCUUUGGCAUUCAGUUUUAUAUUCUCUUUCACUUUAAAGAAACAGAGACUACAUAUUGUUGGUGCUACCUCGUGGGCGUGAUUUAUCUGGGGAAGAAUUCCAAACAGCCAACCCAGAGAAUCCCCCAUUUUCUAUGACUGUCUUGGGAAAGUGGGUCUGACAAAGCUGAAUCUCAUCAGAUUCAAGAGGGGGUGUUCGGUGGCUUUAAUGCUUCUCCGUAAAGUGGAUGGGAGAGUGUCAGGGCUAACUCAAGCCACAAAGGGUUCUGAGAACCUCAGAGCUGGGAAGGGCUUCAUGUUCACUGGGCCCAGGCAUCCCCUGGGGUGGGCACCUCCACCGCAGUCCCACUGCCAGGUGGCUGCCCAGGCUCCUGACUGAUGCCCCAGUGACUCAACACCACUGAGACCUGGUUCGGUUUGAGUCGUAUUCUGGUAAGCGUGCCUGACUCACUCUGCUCUCCCUUCUCUGUGCUCCUUGAUGUACCCUCCUUUACCCCCAGGUGAAAAAGCUCCAUUAACUUUGUCACAGCAGGUCCAGAAAGAAGCUAACACUGUAAUAUGAAUUAGCUUAAUAUAUUCUCAAGGUACCUAUUUUCCCAGCAGGACAAGGCCUGCUUAUCCUUUCAGAUAAUUCUUCAUUCUUUCCUAGGGCCUUCCCAUCUCUCCUAGCCCCAAGAUCCAGGUCCUUCAUCCAAAAGACCUACCCUAGGCCCCAUUUCUGCACAUUUCCGGCAAGAUUCUGCCUGAUCACUGCCUCAAGUUGAUAGGACAAAAUAUUGUACCUGGGAUCAAUAAAAAUUCUAAUUCUAGCACUUUUUUUUUUUUUUUUUGAGACGGAGUUUUGCUCUUGUUGCCCAGGUUGGAGUGCGAUGGCGUGAUCUCGGCUCACUGCAACCUCCGCCUCCUGGGUUCAAGUGAUUCUCCUGCCUCAGCCUCCCAAGUAGCUGGGAUUAUAGGCAGCUGCCAACAUGCCUAGCUAAUUUUUGUAUUUUCAGUAGAGAUGGGGUUUCACCAUGUUGGUCAGGCUGGUCUCGAACUCCUGACCUCAGGUGAUCUGCCUGCCUUGGCCUCCCAAAGUGCUGAGAUUACAGACAUGAGCCACUGUUCCCGGUCUAAUUCUAGCACUUUCUAACUCUUAGACCUUGGCUUACAUAAUUAAUGUUUCUAAAAGCUGUGAUUUUUUUCAUUUGCAUAAUGGAAAUUGAAAUAGCUCAUUGUGAUGGUUCUUCAUUCAACAUGUUUUUAAAGUCCCUACGAGGUGCUCAAGCACUCUGCUGCUGUGAUACUGUGGGUACAUGACUGGGAAAGCCAGAGGCCAUCUGAUACAGCCACAGGAAUGAAGCUUUGCUGGUUGAUAGAUGGGAUAAUGCAGGGGUUGGCAAACUUUUUCUGUAAAGCGCCAGAUAGUAAAUAUUUUAGGCUUUAUUCUGCCAUAGUAGUGCAAAAGCAGCCAUAAACAAUAUAUAAACAAAUGGGUGUGGCUCUGUGCCAAUAAAACUUCACAAAAAACAAGCAGCAGGCUUUGGCUUGUAGGAAGUAGUUUGCCUACUGCUGGGCUAAAGGUUAAUGUUUGUGGAUUGAGGGUCAGUUCCAGAUCACUCCAAGAAGGUGGCUUCAGAUGAUGAACAUGUGGACUUAGGCUGGCAUGCUGGGAGUUCUUCAGGAGGGCCUCCAAAUGCAUCAUUCCUCUUGCUUAUGCAGAGCUGGACGGGUUAGAUCUCAAGCUGGCUUAAUUAACUUUCCAGGCCUUCUUCCUUAAUGGCAAAGUACAAAUUCAGUAGCAUUCAGUGGCCCCUUAUAACAGACACAGUAAGUAUGACAAAGAUACAACCCAGCCUACACUACUGGGAUGACAGGGAAAAGUCAUCCCAGCAGGGUUUAACUAGUGGUUUCCCAAACUUGAACACUCAUUGAAUCACUCAGGAUGCUUGUUAAAAAUACAGAUUCCUGGACCCCUACUUUAGAAUGAUUAUUUCAAGCUAUAGAGAUGACCUGGGGAUUCUGGACCAUUAGCAUGUGGACCAGAUGAUUUUAAAGGAGGGAAACUCAGAGUUAGGCCCCUUUUAGCUGUGACAUACAGUGGUUAUCAAAAGAGUAAAGGAAGCCUGUCUGCCCUUGCUGGGCUGUGGUGGGACAGAGAAUGGUGGUGGUGGGGAUCGUUAUCUUGUCUGCAAAGACGUGGCAGGAUGUGGUUGACCUGAACUUCCUGUGAAUCAAGGAACCAGAGAACAGGGGGGAGAGAUUCACAGCCCGGCAGUAGGCUCAGCCCACAUGCCUAGAGUGUGCUCAGUGGGUACUGGGAAAUGAGAGCCUGGCCCCACCUCUUCUCCGUGACCUUGGGCAGGUCACUUCACCUCUCAGAGUGUCAGUUUCCUCAUGGAUACAAAGGAGAUGAUGAUAGGUCAUUUUCAAGGACACCAUGAAGAAUAAAUAAGGUAUCAUUUAUAAAACCUCUGUCUCCUUGAUUAGUGGUAGAAAAUUCUCUUUCAGUGGAAUCAGUGUCCACCUCAAAACAUCCAAGGGCCAAGAGUUAGGAGACCUCCUUCAUGGGCGGGGUUUUACCAAUGACUCAAUGCUCCAUCUUGGAGUAAGUGAGAUCAUGUUGCUGGGCCUCACUUCACUUGACUGUAGAAUGGGACGUUAUGCACCUGCGGUUCCCUGUUUCCUUUUCAAGGAUUCUCUUGAAGGUUGGAUGAGACUAUGGAAUGAGAAGUGUCCUGGUGCUGUCAAGGGAUAUGGCAAAAAAAAUGUGCAAGACCAUUCUUGUCAGGUGCGGGGAGAGAUGUUGCUGACUUUAAUAAUGUACUUCUUUCCAUUUGUUAUUUUUACAACAAAGGAAGAAAUAAAACAGGACCUCUGAAAGAUUCCUUGUCAUAUAUAGCUUUCUCCUAUUGAGUUAUUUUCAUCUGAGUUUAUCAAUCAAUUGAGAAACAGUCACUGGAUAUCAACGGUGUACCCAGCCCUGUGCUAUGUGUAAGAUAAGGAGGUUCAGAGGUAUGCCGCUAGGUCCCUAACCAUGAGAGACCCACAGUCCAGCUUAGGAGAUAACAAAUAUGUGUUAUCCAGGUAUGUUAACACAUGGGAAGUGAAAUAGAAGUGCAGUGAUGAUGCUGAUGAUGCUGACAGUAAUGAUGGAAAGGAUGAAGAUGAUGUUAAUUAUUCUUCAUAUACACCACAAUUGUACAGUUUACAAAGCAUGUUUAGGACGAUUAUCUUAUCUGAUAUUCAAGUCUAGAAAAACCCUGAUUUUACUGAUGAACAAACUGAGGGUAAUAACUUCUCAGAGAUCAGAUAGGAAGAAAGUAGCUUAGUUGGACUCCAGCUUCUUUCUUUUGGCCCCAAGAGUGCC
rnacentral:lncRNA from 1 species